rnacentral:rRNA from 1 species
UACAGAGGGUGCGAACGUUGCUCGGAAUAACUGGGCGUAAAGCGCGUGUAGGCGGUCCGUUAAGUCGGCUGUGAAAUCCCAUAGCUUAACUAUGGAAGUGCAGUCGAUACUGGCGGACUUGAAUCCUGGAGAGGGUGGUAGAAUUCCUGGUGUAGAGGUGAAAUUCGUAGAUAUCAGGAGGAAUACCGGUGGCGAAGGCGACCACCUGGACGGGUAUUGACGCUGAGACGCGAAAGCGUGGGGAGCAAACAGGAUUAGAUACCCGUGUAGUCC